ensembl:lncRNA
GGCCCUUGUAAAAGUUGCUAAUUUUUCCUGUUUCUAACACAACUUUGAGGAUAGAAUGUUCACUUGCUGCCUAAUAUAUAACCCACCCACUGACAGGUGCCAUGAUAACGAGAUUAUCAGUGUUAUUCACUUCACCUGUUAGUGGUCAUGUUAUGGCUGAUUGAUGUAAAUACAUAGUAUACACAUACCAGCAUGGCUUGAAUGUUGGGUUUGUAGCCUAACUUAAGAAAAUACAUUCUCACAGACUUAGGACAAAAUCAGUGAACAGUAAGUACGCUCAAAUUACCUUUAUUCAACAAUCUGUGAGCCUACAAGUUCAGAGACGAGUAUUCCACUCAGAUUCUGCAUUACGUGGCAGAGCUCCUCCCUUCACUUCUGGCAAAUAUUUUAGAAUAUUAGCAUAAUAAUGUGCAAGCAGAUAUCCUUCAGUUUCCAGUGCUUAAAUUAGUCCAUGGAGAAGUCUGUCAUUCGGUCUGCCUUCAACAUGCAGGGUCACUACAUUCACUUAAGUCAACCAGUCUCCCCUUAUUUCAAACUUCGCGGUAGAAAGUAAAUUGCCCAAACCCUGUAAGAUAUCAUACUCCCACUCUGGUUUUUCUAUCCCUAUUUGGCCCUAAGACAUAACUUCCAUUGCCUAGCUCCUACACCAAAACCUAACCUUUACCCUGACCAUAACUUCCGAUGCUUGUAAAUAGCCACAAUUCUAACACUGUCCAAUUGCAAAUAUUUCCCUGAACCUAACCCGUGAGACAGAAUUAAAAAUGUCCCUAGUGGAGAGUGUCAAAAAAAAACUUGGGACAGAUCUUUCAGGUAUUCUCCAUUUUCUGGUCCCCACAAGUACACAAACGUGGAUCAUUCUCACAUGUUUUUCUAUCCUUGUGGGGAUUGGAGACCUAGCCAUGACCAAGGAAAUCCAUGUUCCCGAUUCCUUAGCCCUAAACCUAACCUUACAACUACACAAAUCUUAACCUGGCUUUUAUGCAUACAUUUAACAUAGCGAUAAUGCCUAACCCUAGAUGGUAAUGCCUAAAGCUGAAAGAACCCCUAAAACUACGUACAAUUGUACGUUUUCCCCUAAAUGUAACCCCUGACCUGGAAUUUGCAUUUUCCUAGUGGGGAACUGAAGAUGUUUCUAUCUUUGUGGGGACAUCCCCCACAAAGUCCCCAAAAGUUCAGAUACAUGAAUCACACACACAAACACACACCCUGUUGGGCUUGACUUAGAAGCUAAGACUUCUCAUUUGUGAGUGGUCCAAAAUGCAUGUCUGCUGUGUGGUUCAUAAAGGUUGAGACACAAUGUACCGAUUUGGAACACAAAGAACGUGUCAUUCUUACACCUCAAAACUGGAGGCCUUUCUAGAACAGAAAAUUGAUUGCUGUAAUUUUGUGUAGCCUGAACAUUGGAACGUGUUAUUGCACCAUUCCUUCCAAAUCUGAGGAGGCAGUGAUGUCUAUUCCAAUCUGAUCUAGCUGUAACAGGCUUGGCAUCAAAGCAGCCUAUUUUCCUCAGGUAACCAAAUACAGGUGCUGGUCAUAAAAUUAGAAUAUCAUCAAAAAGUUGAUUUA